UACCCGCAGCACAAGUGGUGGUCAUUAUUAUUGGGCCUAAAGCGUCCGUAGCUGGCGUGUUAGAUGCCUGGGUAAAUCGAUGCGCUUAACGCAUCGAACUCCGGGUAGACCGGCACGCUCGAGACCGGGAGAGGCACGGGCUACUCGCGGGGUAGGGGUAAAAUCCUGUAAUCCUGCGGGGAGGACCAGUGGCGAAGGCGCCAUGCUAGAACGGCUCUGACAGUGAGGGACGAAGCCCUGGGGCGCAAACCGG
rnacentral:rRNA from 1 species